UUGAGGUAGUGCAAGAAAUAACAAUACUGGAAAUUUCAUUUCUAGUGAUUGGAAUGAUAGGAAUCCAAACCCCUUUCAGAGUAACAAUUGGAGGGCAAGUCUGGUGCCAGCAGCCGCGGUAAUUCCAGCUCCAAUAGCGUAUAUUAAAGUUGUUGCAGUUAAAAAGCUCGUAGUUGGAUUUCUGCUGGAAGCAGCCAGUCCGCCCUCAGGGGUGUGCACUUGGUGAAUUCUAGCAUCCUUCUGGAUUUCUCCACACUUCAUUGUGUGGAGUUUUUUCCAGGACUUUUACUUUGAGAAAAUUAGAGUGUUUCAAGCAGGCUUGUCGCCUUGAAUACUGCAGCAUGGAAUAAUAAGAUAGGAUUUCGGCCCUAUUUUGUUGGUUUCUAGGACUGAAGUAAUGAUUAAUAGGGACGGUUGGGGGCAUUCGUAUUUAACUGUCAGAGGUGAAAUUCUUAGAUUUGUUAAAGACGAACUACUGCGAAAGCAUUUGCCAAAGAUGUUUUCAUUAAUCAAGAACGAAAGUUAGGGGAUCGAAGAA
rnacentral:rRNA from 1 species